GCCCAAGUCCCUGUCUUCCUGCAUCCUGCUCAUCUCAGCUGAGCUCGGAAGCUAAGCAGGGUCAGGCCCGGUCAGUACUUGGAUGGGAGACUACCCGGGAAUACAGAGUGCCUGCUCC
rnacentral:rRNA from 1 species